rnacentral:sRNA from 1 species
CGGGAUUCCUGGGCCGAGAGCGGGUGGCGGAGCCGGGACCUCGCGUGAUUCUCGGAACCCGAGGAGAAGCGGCGUCCGGGGCUAUGGCUGUGACUCUGGACAAAGACGCUUAUUAUCGGCGAGUGAAGAGACUGUACAGCAAUUGGCGGAAAGGAGAAGAUGAGUAUGCCAACGUUGAUGCCAUUGUUGUAUCAGUGGGUGUUGAUGAAGAAAUUGUUUAUGCCAAAUCAACUGCCUUACAGACAUGGCUCUUUGGUUACGAACUAACUGAUACUAUCAUGGUCUUUUGUGAUGACAAAAUCAUCUUUAUGGCCAGCAAGAAAAAAGUGGAGUUCUUGAAACAGAUUGCCAACACUAAGGGCAAUGAGAAUGCUAAUGGAGCCCCUGCCAUCACACUGCUAAUACGAGAAAAGAAUGAAAGUAAUAAAAGUAGCUUUGACAAAAUGAUUGAAGCCAUUAAAGAAAGCAAGAAUGGCAAGAAGAUUGGAGUGUUCAGCAAAGACAAAUUCCCUGGAGAGUUCAUGAAGAGCUGGAAUGACUGCCUCAACAAAGAAGGCUUUGACAAAAUAGAUAUCAGUGCAGUUGUGGCAUAUACCAUCGCUGUAAAGGAGGAUGGGGAGCUCAACCUAAUGAAGAAAGCAGCCAGCAUCACUUCUGAAGUCUUCAACAAAUUCUUCAAGGAAAGAGUCAUGGAAAUAGUUGAUGCAGAUGAGGUAAAUGGAGAUGAGAGGGUGUUUUUACUGUUUUAAUGAAGCAGUAAUAAGUCUACCAUGCAAAUCUGUUGGUGUGUUCUUCAGCUUCCUUUGAAAUUAAGACUGGCACUUAAGUUGGUGGUAAUUACAUCAUCUCCCUUUCAAAAUAAUGGUAAGCCCGCGUUAUGUUUUCUUGAGGUAAUCCAUUAUUUUACUUGAGAAUCAUAGGAAUAGCUGUAAGUCCUACAUAUUGUUCUCCAAAUGUGUUUUGCCUGCAUACCAAUAUAUUACCUGGUGCACAAAUCAUUUCCUAAGACUUAGACAAGGAUACAUUU